UCCGGUGCCGCAGCUCUUCCGGCUCACGUUGCGGUUGGGUGUUUCGCUUCGGUCAACCUGUAGAGAGGAAAACGGUGAUCAUAACGAUGAAAAAAUCACACGAAACGGGAAUCGGGAAGGGCUUCAUCGAAGGCGGUUUGUGAAAUUCCCCACGGCGGCGCCGCCGGGCUUCGGCGGUGUUUUCCGGACAAUUGGCAGGUUCUUUCACUCCGAUUUGGCCACGGGUGGGUUCAAAAUUGAAUUUCGUGUAAAAAAAAAUUUUUUUACCUUUUUUGUCAGUCGAAAAGGGUUCCAGUGCGGCGGUGGGUGGCGGCGGUCGGCUCCCCGACGGCUGGGUUGUCUUCUCCGGUGAGGGAUUCUGUCGGCUAGGGUUAGGAUUUAGGUGCGGAUGGGGUUAUUUAUACCUAUCCGCUUUUGAUCUGAACCAUCUGAUCACGAUUAAAUAAGUAGUGAAUCUGAAC
rnacentral:lncRNA from 1 species